UGGGGAAUAUUGGACAAUGGGCGAAAGCCUGAUCCAGCCAUGCCGCGUGUGUGAAGCAGGUCUUCGGAUUGUAAAGCACUUUAAGUUGGGAGGAAGGGCAGUAAGCGAAUACCUUGCUGUUUUGACGUUACCGACAGAAUAAGCACCGGCUAACUCUGUGCCAGCAGCCGCGGUAAUACAGAGGGUGCAAGCGUUAAUCGGAAUUACUGGGCGUAAAGCGCGCGUAGGUGGUUCGUUAAGUUGAAUGUGAAAGCCCCGGGCUCAACCUGGGAAUUGCAUUCGAGACUGGUUAGCUAGAGUGUGGGGGAGGAUGGUAGAAUUCCAGGUGUAGCGGUGAAAUGCGUAGAGAUCUGGAGGAAUACCGAUGGCGAAGGCAGCCAUCUGGCCUAACACUGACGCUGAGGUACGAAAGCAUGGGGAGCAAACAGG
rnacentral:rRNA from 1 species